AACACGUCCUCAUUGGACUCUAGACAGAAUCAAUGCUAAUACUGAUCUGCUAAGCUAUCUUAUGCUAAUGCUUCACAGUACUAAAAUAGGUAAUAGCAGAAGAGGUACUACUAUUAAAUUGCUUUAUACAAGGGUGUCUUUGGCCUCAUAACGUUAUGAAACGCAGUUUGCAGAUGCGAGUGUUUUGUAAAGACAGAACUCGUCGUCUUUUACAUACUCAAAUGUCAAAUCCCUCUAUUCCCUUUGAAGCUAUGGAAGCGAGCUUCUUUCAUUUUUGAAUAAAGGUAAAUCUUUAAUCCCCGCUACAUCCAUUCCUAUUUAUUCCUUUCUAUAACAGUGUUAACCUCAAAAAUUUAGGAUUCUCUAAAAUGAGCUCAAUUUUCAGAAGAAAAGAUACAUUCUUGAAGCUAAUUCUUGGAAAAACCUACCAAAACCCUCAAAAAAUAUUUAUUCAUCUUCCUACGUCUAUAAUUCAGAGGCCCUUUUCAACCCAGUCGCCAAAAAAAUUCCCUGAGUAUGAAAUGCCUUCAGUGACAUGGGGAAUAUUGCAAAAGAAUAAAGAAAAACUUGUCUCAAGAGUUAUAAUUUCUGACUAUUUAAAAAGCAUAGGCAUAGUUACUAAUGAAUUAGAGGAUCAAGAAUUGCCAUCCACAGUUGAAAUCAUGCGUGAACGUGUCGAAUUUCUGCAGAAUAUUGGUUUAACAAUUGAUGAUAUCAAUGAGUAUCCCUUAAUGGUUGGAUAUAGUGUGAGGAAAAAUGUAAUCCCUGUUUUGACAUAUUUAGAAAAAAUCGGGAUUCAAAGGUCAAGUCUUGGUGAAUUUGUUAAAAGUUAUCCACAAUGUUUGAAUGCUAGUGUUGUAGUGGAGCUUGUUCCGGUUGUCAAAUUUUUACGGGGGCUUGACGUCGAGAAGCUUGAUAUUGGAUUUGUUUUAAUGAAAUACCCAGAGUUGUUAGGGUUUAAGCUCGAGGGAACGAUGAGUACUUCAGUAGCUUACUUGGUCAGUAUAGGGGUUAAUCCGAGGGAUAUAGGGCCAAUGGUAACACAAUAUCCAUAUUUGUUGGGAAUGAGAGUUGGGACCAUGAUUAAACCGUUUGUGGAUUAUUUGGUUUCGUUGGGUUUGCCGAAGAAAAUUUUAGCAAGGAUGGUCGAGAAACGGGCGUAUCUACUUGGAUAUGAUCUUGAACAGACAGUGAAAGUGAAUGUAAGUUGCUUGCUUAGUUUUGGAAUUAGGAGGGAAGCUCUACCUUCUGUUAUUGCACAAUAUCCGCAAAUUCUUGGUUUGCCUUUGAAGGCUAAGCUGUCAUCACAACAAUAUUUCUUUAAGUUGAAGCUCAAGAUCGAUACUGAUGGGUUUGCUCGUGUAAUUGAGAGGAUGCCGCAAAUUAUCAGCCUUCAUCAGCAUGUUAUAUUGAAACCUGUCGAGUUCCUUCUUGGACGGGGUUUUUCAGCUGAUGAUGUGGCUAAGAUGAUUAUAAAAUGUCCUCAGUUAGUUGCUAUACAAGUUGGCCUCAUGAAAAAUGGCUAUUACUUUUUCAAGAGUGAUAUGGGCAGGCCAAUGGAAGAACUUGUGGACUUUCCGGACUAUUUCACUUAUAGCUUAGAAUUAAGAAUCAAGCCGAGGUACCAGAGGUUGCAAAGCAAGGGAAUCAAAUGUUCUUUGGCUUGGUUUCUUAACUGCAGUGACCAAAGAUUUGAAGAGAGAUUGUAUGGUGAUUAUAUAGUGCCUGAAAGUUCCGGUCCAUCAUUUUGUAUGGGCGGGAAGUUAGAAAUGGCAGGCAGUGAUAAUGUAUCAGAAGAGGAGGAAAGUGAUGAGGAAUCACUUUAUAGACGCACUGUCUCUUUGUAGGAACUUUGCUUAAAAUCAUUGACAAAUAACAGCUUAUGAUGUUUGCUUAGCAUCCUAGCUUUUUAACCUGAACUGAGAUAUUUUCUAGCUCCAUGGAGAAGUGUCUUCUCUAAGCUGUGAAUUUAUCUUGCCGGCCAUGUUUGUGAAGCAAUACACCAGCUACAGCCAUGUCUGCAGAGGAAAAAAUGAUUACAUAUAAUUUCUAUUUUUUAUGUCUCUUUCUAUCCACAGGCCUGGUGAUGUGUCUUUCAACAAAAUAUGACUAGGGUACAGCUUUUGUCUUUUGACUGGAUAUCUUAUUAUCCAAUAUUCCAAGUUUUUACACAUUGACAUUGCAAUAAGUAGCAGUAUUCUCUUCCAAUGGUAUGAGGCAUGUAUACUCCACGUUUGUCUCGUAGCCCCAUUUGACUUGGAAACCUGAGUCUUGCAUCCUCGAAAUGCUUCAUUAGUUCUACAUAUUUCCAUUUGUAAGCAUCAAUCUCCCUGCCCCGGCUGGUAAUAAGGUCAGUAAUUUGAUCACAGCAAGUUUCAAGUGAAGUUUAGCAGUUUGUAAUUGUGAGAUGUGUACUUUUUACUGCUUUAGCUUCUGUUCUUUUUUUCCUUAAUGGUUUAUGUAUGCCCACAUUUAGCAGGCAGGAAAAAGACUUGAUAGAAGGCUGCAUGAGUGGUCAGAAGUCGGUGGUAUUGGCAAGAAUAUAUAUCUGGUUAUAGCCGGAAUAUCCAUCAAGGAAAGAAUAAUAAUCUUGUCCAGCCAACCUAUCUAGCAUCUGAUCAAUGAAGGGAAUGAGUAAGUGAUCUUUUCUAGCGGCGUUCAAUUUUCGAUAGUCUAUGCAGAUUCUCCAACCUGUGACAGUCCUAGUUAUAAUUAAUUUAUUAUUAUCAUUCCCCCAUUUUUAGGUACACACUGAACCUGACUUACCUGCUUGGUGUCAGAAAUGGGAAAGAUAAUACCUGUAUCGAGCCACUUCCUGACUUCCUUUAUUACCACUUCCUUCAUAACUAAAUUCAAACGGUGUUUUAAGAUUGAUGGAAAAAUCUGUAAUUAUAGUUUGUUUCAUAGAUUCUAGUCUCUUUCAAGUAUGUACUCAUGUUAUAUUUUUCGUCAUAAGUGAUUUAUUAUAGUUGCAAAAU